rnacentral:rRNA from 1 species
UACGUAGGGGGCAAGCGUUGUCCGGAAUCAUUGGGCGUAAAGAGCGUGUAGGCGGCCAGAAAAGUCCGCUGUGAAAACUCGAGGCUCAACUUCGAGCUGUCGGUGGAAACUUUCUGGCUAGAGUCCGGAAGAGGAGAAUGGAAUUCCUGGUGUAGCGGUGAAAUGCGCAGAUAUCAGGAAGAACACCCGUGGCGAAGGCGGCUCUCUGGGACGGUACUGACGCUGAGGCGCGAAAGCGUGGGGAGCAAACAGG